rnacentral:rRNA from 1 species
UACAGAGGGGGCAAGCGUUGUUCGGAAUUACUGGGCGUAAAGGGCGCGUAGGCGGCCUGCUAAGUCGAACGUGAAAUCCCCAGGCUUAACCUGGGAACUGCAUCCGAUACUGGAUGGCUUGAAUCCGGGAGAGGGAUGCGGAAUUCCAGGUGUAGCGGUGAAAUGACGUAGAUAUCUGGAGGAACACCGGUGGCGAAGGCGGCAUCCUGGACCGGCAUUGACGCUGAGGCGCGAAAGCCAGGGGAGCA